UUACUACUCCCUCCGUCCUGAAAUUCUUGUCUUAGAUUUGUCUAGAUACGGAUGUAUCUAAUACUAAAAUGUGACUUGAUACAUCCGUAUCUAGACAAAUUUAAGACAAGAAUUUUGGGACGGAGGGAGUACUUA
rnacentral:pre_miRNA from 1 species